AGAGGAAGUAAAAGUCGUAACAAGGUUUCCGUAGGUGAACCUGCGGAAGGAUCAUUAACGAGAGUGGGACCCUGCGUCCCCCGGGGCUCCGGCCCCGACUCUUCACCCCGUGCGUACCUACCAUUGUUGCUUCGGCGGGCCGUCGUUCGCGCCGCGAUGCCCGGGGCCACCCCCCGGGUUCCGCGUGAGCCCGCCGGAGGCCCUUCUAAACCUGUCAUCGGUGUUGUCUGAGGAGAAAUUCAAUAACUAAAACUUUCAACAACGGAUCUCUUGGUUCUGGCAUCGAUGAAGAACGCAGCGAAAUGCGAUAAGUAAUGUGAAUUGCAGAAUUCAGUGAAUCAUCGAAUCUUUGAACGCACAUUGCGCCCCUUGGUAUUCCGAGGGGCAUGCCUGUUCGAGCGUCAUUGCAACCCUCAAGCACUGCUUGGUCAUGGGCCUCGUCCGCAGGGACGUGCCCGAAAGUUAGUGGCGGUCCUGCCGGGACUCCGGGCGUAGUAAACUACAUCCCGCCCAGGGAAGCUCCCGCGGCGGCCGGCCAGCCAACCCCCAAUUUUUACAAUGGUUGACCUCGGAUCAGGUAGGGAUACCCGCUGAACUUAAGCAUAUCAAUAAGCGGAGGAAAAGAAACCAACAGGGAUUGCCUCAGUAACGGCGAGUGAAGCGGCAACAGCUCAAAUUUGAAAUCUGACCCCUUCGGGGCCCGAGUUGUAAUUUGUAGAGGAUGUUUCGGGUGCGGCGCCGGUCUAAGUUCCUUGGAACAGGACGUCAUAGAGGGUGAGAAUCCCGUAUGCGACCGGCGAUCAACCCCAUGUGAAAC
rnacentral:rRNA from 1 species